AUGGGCCCGAAAGCUGCAAUUCACCGCAGAAACAGCAGAUGGGAGCAGUGGAGACGCGACGGAGAGCAGCAUGGAAGGAGGAGCCAGCAGAUGGCAGUGCAGAGGAGCGAACAGACAUCCCUGCAGCGGCAGCUGAUCCCGGGGCUUCCUGGGGAAGUAAAUAGCGGGCUUUGGUGCAGCGAGGUGGGCUUCCCUGGGCUCCUGGCUUGCCCUAGCUGUUGCGUUCUCUGGGUUCCUGUAUUUCCCACCAAGGACGUCGCAGUAGAAGCUGGACUGAUUCUGGAGUCGGAGGAUCUAGGUUCAAAUCCUCCGGGACACUUACAACGUGUGUGACCUUUGGAAAUGUGUGUAACCUCUUUGGGCCUCAGUUUCCUCAUCUAUAAAAUGGAAGGAUUGGACAAGAAGGCCUCCAAGUUCUCUUUUAAUUCUUGGGAAGCCUUCUCAACUCUACUUCCUUGACCGAGCCUGUAUUUCCUCUCCAAUCAAUGGUUUAGCGAGCUGUGGGAGAGUGUACCCCUGUGCAAGUGGGGGGCAAUUCCCUUUAUGGCUAAUUUUGCUGUGCUGUUUAAUAAAGUGUUAUUUGCUUUGAAGUAGCUUGGCCUC
rnacentral:lncRNA from 1 species